UAUAGUCCUGCGUCUGUGUCCGGCGCACGCAGCGAGUGGGGAGAAUUGCGUCAUCCACGCGGCAUGCAGAAGGUGUCGUGUGCCUCCCCACAAUUGUGACCGUGCGUGAAUUAACACGUCUUCA